GUGUUCGCUUUGGCAGCACUUAUACUAAAGUUGGAACCCAGAGAUUAGCAUGGCCCCUGCACAAGGAUGACAUGCAAAUUUGGGAUGUGCUCCAUAUUUUU
ensembl:snRNA U6 U6 spliceosomal RNA